ensembl:snoRNA
AGCCUUAUUCUGGGUUAGAAUGGGCACUGUUGAUUGGUGUCCAGAAUUGGUGAAUGUGGCUACAAUUGAGACACAGGUCAGGCUUCCAUCAUCGUAGUAUUUACAGUGGUGACAAUGAAGUCUGUAACAUUC